rnacentral:rRNA from 1 species
CCUACGGGAGGCAGCAGUGGGGAAUUUUGCGCAAUGGGGGAAACCCUGACGCAGCAACGCCGCGUGAGCGAUGAAGGCCUUCGGGUCGUAAAGCUCUUUGAGUGGAGACGAAGACCCACAGGGUGAAUAUCCCUGUGGGAUGACGGUAUCCACAGAACAAGUUCCGGCUAACUACGUGCCAGCAGCCGCGGUAAUACGUAGGGAGCAAGCGUUGUUCGGAAUUAUUGGGCGUAAAGAGCGCGUAGGCGGUCUGGUAAGUCUGAUGUGAAAUCCCGGGGCUUAACCCCGGAACUGCAUUGGAUACUGCCAGGCUUGAGUGUGGGAGAGGAGAGUGGAAUUCCCAGUGUAGAGGUGAAAUUCGUAGAUAUUGGGAGGAACACCGGUGGCGAAGGCGGCUCUCUGGACCACAACUGACGCUGAGGCGCGAAAGCUAGGGGAGCAAACGGGAUUAGAUACCCCGGUAGUCCUAGCCGUAAACGAUGGGCACUAGGUGUUGGAGGUAUCGACCCCUUCAGUGCCGCAGCUAACGCAUUAAGUGCCCCGCCUGGGGAGUACGG